UUAAACACUCAUGGGAACACUUGACACUUAGCUCUUGACAAAGGCGUAUCCUUACUCCGAAACGCGCGUCGAGCGCUUUUGGUGCCGAUGUUCUACAUUUGAUUUUAGGUUCUGGGAGAGUUAGUCUGCAAGAGGUUGUUUUAUUUGACGUGGAAGUGGGGUUUACUAGGCAGGCUGCCUCGAAGCAGCUACAGGAGAUAGGGGCUUUGGGUAUCGACCUAGCAGGCUGCCUUACAGUAGCAUCAGGAG